CCUGAACCAAAGAAGCCAGCUGCUAAGGCAGAGAAGCAGGAGACUCCCCCUGCUGAUAAGCCUGCAGAAGGUGAGUCACCUGAAUAAUCUCCAGAUGCCUUUUGUCUUAAUUCAGUCUGUCAGGGGUCCAAGAGGUUGCAUUACUUCUAUUAGUUUGUAUAAGUUAACAU